rnacentral:rRNA from 1 species
GACGAACGCUGGCGGCAUGCCUAAUACAUGCAAGUCGAGCGAACAGAUGAAGUGCUUGCGCUUCUGACGUUAGCGGCGAACGGGUGAGUAACACGUAAGGAAUCUACCUAUAAGCGGGGGAUAACAUUCGGAAACGGGUGCUAAUACCGCAUAAUAUCUUCUUCCGCAUGGAAGAAGAUUGAAAGACGGCUCUGCUGUCACUUAUAGAUGACCUUGCGGUGCAUUAGUUAGUUGGUGGGGUAAUGGCUUACCAAGACGAUGAUGCAUAGCCGACCGGAGAGGGUGAUCGGCCACAUUGGGAAUGAGACACGGCCCAAACUCCUACGGGAGGCAGCAGUAGGGAAUCUUCCGCAAUGGGCGAAAGCCUGACGGAGCAAUGCCGCGUGAGUGAAGAAGGCCUUCGGGUCGUAAAACUCUGUUAUAAGAGAAGAACAAAUUGUAGAGUAACUGCUACAGUCUUGACGGUAUCUUAUCAGAAAGCCACGGCUAACUACGUGCCAGCCGCCGCAGUAA